GAUCCUAGCUCAGGACGAGCGCUGGCGGCGUGCUUAACACAUGCAAGUCGAACGAAGAGCGAUGGAAGCUUGCUUCUAUCAAUCUUAGUGGCGAACGGGUGAGUAACGCGUAAUCAACCUGCCCUUCAGAGGGGGACAACAGUUGGAAACGACUGCUAAUACCGCAUACGAUCCAAUCUCGGCAUCGAGGAUGGAUGAAAGGUGGCCUCUAUUUAUAAGCUAUCACUGAAGGG
rnacentral:rRNA from 1 species